rnacentral:lncRNA from 1 species
AUCACAUCUAAUGUGGACAUAUCAGACGCCUUGUGAAACAAUACAGGAAAAAUUCAGUUUCGAGCUAUGGCACUUGCCGCAAAGAUGUGGGGGGCCUUGCACUAAUAGUGAUAGUUACCACUGCAUUUAGAAAUUGAAAGCAUUCGUGCAGACAAGGAUGAUUCUUCAUAUUUUUGGCUACCACUUCAAAUGCCUCCACCAAGUGUUACAAUUCUGCACGCAGCCAUACUAAGGAUCUCGCAGCAACACCUGCAGGUAAAAAGCACAAGCAGUCAAAGUGCUGGUGUGUUCUGGACACUAUGUUUGAAAACUUUUAGGCAAGAAGAGUGCAAGAAGCAGGCAUAACAACUGCAUUUAUUUCCAUAAUUCCCCAUUUGAAUGGCCUUUUCUUUUUGCUUAGACAAUGCCUACACCUAGCCAGAGCAGCUCCCUCAUACAGACUCCGCAAGCCAAGAGGCCGUGGAGGCAAAUGCAGGCAGCCAGCGCACCUCGAACAGCCACCUUGACUGCGGGUGUGUCACCCUAGUCGCCAAGGAAACAUUUGAGGGAAAGCGACAGGCAAUGUGAACAGCCACUUCUCCAUGUAAACGAUACUCAUUCUCUCGGAUGACUACUACGCCUCGCCUCGCCAGCACACUUGUGCACAAAGAUGCUGCGGAGGCACGUGCAGGUCAGAGGCAAGAAGCAGUGGUACUGGUGUCGACAUUCACCGAAUUUCUUUUUCUUACACUGAGGCAGCCAGCACACCUCGAACAGCCACCUUGACUGCGGGUGUGUCAGUAGAUUCCUGUUGUACAUAUGCUCAUAAUAAACUUCAGUAAACUUGAACUUGAUAAUAAACUUGAAGGCAAAUGGUACGUUGA